CGGAGCCGUAGCGAAAGCGAGUCUUAAUAGGGCGCCAUAGUCAGUAGUAGUAGACGCGAAACCGUGCGAUCUACCCAUGGGCAGGUUGAAGCUGUGGUAACACAUAGUGGAGGACCGAACCCGUUGACGUUGAAAAGUCUUGGGAUGACCUGUGGGUAGGGGUGAAAGGCCAAUCAAGCUCGGAAAUAGCUCGUACUCCCCGAAAUGCAUUUAGGUGCAGCGUUGCGUGGUUCUUGUUGGAGGUAGAGCACUGGAUGGUCUAGGGGGCUUAUCGGCUUACCGAAAUCAGCCAAACUCCGAAUGCUGGCAAGUGUAGCGUGG
rnacentral:rRNA from 1 species